rnacentral:tRNA from 1 species
UAGCUCAGUUGGUAGAGUGUUUGCCUCACAUACACAAGGCCCUGGGUUCAAUCCCCAG